UGUAUAGUAUUUCCAUGAAAUUAAAUAAAAAUUCUCAUCUGUUCCAGACAGGUGAUGCCACGCCCAGUCCCUGGUGAACCCGCCUCCGCAGCAGGUCUCCUUGUCUCACUCACUGCUGGGCCACAUCUUUAGUGGGCCCCACAUCAUUUCACAAGAACCCCAGGUGCGGUGCAUCUGCGCCACCCUCGCCCUAAAAUCCCGCUGAACCGUUUUGCCUCUCAUAGGGCAUGCUCACUCCUUUUCUCCCCCUACCACUCGCCCUCAACCCCGGACUCUCGCUCCAUCUCGGCACCUUGCAAGCGCCGCGGAGCAGCCCUUCUUCCCUUCAGAGCCUCGAUAACUGGCACUCUCAGCGCACGCACAAAGCCACAACUGCCUCCCCCGCCCCGACCACCCACGUCAGAACGCACAGCGCAAGCUGCAACCUCCGCUGCGACCCCUCAGGCACCCCAAGAAGCCACGAUCGCGGGGAUUCCGGUUGCUGCCUAGGCUCCAGAACCUUCCCCUUUGCCUCCAGUAUCGGCGGAGGGGGCCAGAAAGAAAAAGAAAACUACGAGAUAGCCGUCGCGGCCCUGAUGACGUCACGCCCACGGACGUGAUGACGCGCUACGCCGCCGGUUGGACGGAGCCCCGCGUCCAGAGCGCCCGUUUUGAAGUGGCCGGCCCGGCCCCUGGGUCCUUUGUGAGGCGAGAACGGUGGAAGCCGCCACGCCCCUGCGCCGCGCGCUCCAGCCCGUUCUGAGGAUGAAGGUGGAGCUCUUUCUGCGGUUGCUGAGAGCGGCGCGCAGCGCGUGUUCCACGAGUGCCUGCGCGCGGCCCAGGCCCCUAGUGUCGCUGUCCACGUGGCCGUCUCCGCGGACGCCGGGAUGCCAGCACCCGCCCCGGGCGGACCCGGACCUCCGGACGCCCAUGCUGCCGCCCAACCCCGGGGCGGAUUCCCCGGCCGUGGCGCCCACUGACCCGCGGGGCCCAGAGGCGGGAGAUGCAGGGCGGAGGUGUAGACCUGACCAGAGCCACAGGGACCCCUGGGACUCCCUGCAGGCAAGAUCCCAGCCUUCUGCUUCCUGUGGGGCCACCUGGUGGAUGCCUUGAGUGUGGACAUGGCCAUUGGCACCUUGGAGAUGGUGUUUGCCAGGCUCCCACUGCAGUGUGCCUGCCAGGGGCACAGGGGCAAUGUGGCCAAGGUCUGCGGCUGCCCCUUAGACUGGAAAGGACUCCUGUUCCACUGGGCUGGGAGCUGGCACAGAGGAUCUGUAUUCUGUACUGCUUCAUGGCCAUGUGGUGCAGAAUCCUCCGCAACUGCCAGGACGACAGGGCAGGUUCCUGUAAUUGCUUGCUGAACCUCGGCGUGACUUCCUAG
rnacentral:lncRNA from 1 species